AUAAGCGGAGGAAAAGAAACCAACAGGGAUUGCCCUAGUAACGGCGAGUGAAGCGGCAACAGCUCAAAUUUGAAAUCUGGCCUUCGGGUCCGAGUUGUAAUUUGCAGAGGAUGCUUUUGGUGAGGUGCCUUCCGAGUUCCCUGGAACGGGACGCCAUAGAGGGUGAGAGCCCCGUCUGGUCGGACACCAAUCCUUUGUAAAGCUCCUUCGACGAGUCGAGUAGUUUGGGAAUGCUGCUCUAAAUGGGAGGUAUAUGUCUUCUAAAGCUAAAUACCGGCCAGAGACCGAUAGCGCACAAGUAGAGUGAUCGAAAGAUGAAAAGCACUUUGAAAAGAGAGUUAAACAGUACGUGAAAUUGUUGAAAGGGAAGCGCUCAUGACCAGACUUGGGCUUGGUUGAUCAACUUGGGUUCUCCCGGGUGCACUCUUCCUCGUCCAGGCCAGCAUCAGUUCGCUGCGGGGGAUAAAGGUUUCGGGAAUGUGGCUCCCUCGGGAGUGUUAUAGCCCGUUGCGUAAUACCCUGCGGUGGACUGAGGUCCGCGCAUCUGCAAGGAUGCUGGCGUAAUGGUCAUCAGCGACCCGUCUUGAAACACGGACCAAGGAGUCGUCUUCGUAUGCGAGUGUUCGGGUGUUAAACCCCUACGCGGAAUGAAAGUGAACGCAGGUGAGAGCUUCGGCGCAUCAUCGACCGAUCCUGAUGUUCUCGGAUGGAUUUGAGUAAGAGCAUACGGGGCCGGACCCGAAAGAAGGUGAACUAUGCCUGUAUAGGGUGAAGCCAGAGGAAACUCUGGUGGAGGCUCGCAGCGGUUCUGACGUGCAAAUCGAUCGUCAAAUAUGGGCAUGGGGGCGAAAGACUAAUCGAACCUUCUAGUAGCUGGUUUCC
rnacentral:rRNA from 1 species